AUGGAACUGGAUCGAGCUUCGAAGAGGGUUCUUCUUCACGGACCUAGCGAAGGUGGUCUCUAUCCAGUUCGUCCCAUGCAACCAAGUAGGAAUAAAACGGCGUUCUCUGCCGUCACCAAGCCCAGUCAUGAUCGGUGGCACUGUCGACUCGGUCACCCCUCCUCACGGAUAGUAGAUCAUGUCUUAGGUCAUUUUAAUCUUCAGUUCAAUCGUGAGUCAAAUAAAGCACAUGUAUGUGAUGCAUGUCAGCAAGGGAAGAGUCACCAACUUCCUUAUGCCAGUUCUUCUAGGGUCACUUCAUUUCCUCUUGAGCUUAUUUUCUCUGACGUUUGGGGGCCUGCGUGCACCUCGUCAGGAGGUUUUAGCUACUAUGUGAGCUUCAUAGAUGAUUUUAGCAAAUUCACUUGGUUGUUCUGUCUUAAGCAUAAAUCCGAUGUUUUCAAUAUCUUUCAUCGCUUUCAAUCUCAUGUCGAACGUCUCCUUAAUCGGAAAAUCUUGCAGAUUCAGACCGACUGGGGAGGGGAGUACCGUAAGCUUAAUACUUUCUUCCAAAACAUCGGCAUUGAACACCACUUAUCCUGCCCACACACACACCAACAA
rnacentral:rRNA from 1 species